rnacentral:lncRNA from 10 species
GUACUAGAAAGCAUCAUUUGAUGUUCAAAGUUUAAAUUAACUCUACCUGUCAGGGUUCUUGGUUGAAAGCAACCGAACAAGCUCUGGCUGAUAUAGGCAGAAAAGGAAUCAUUAGGGGAUCCUGAGUGGCUCACUACACGGGUCACAGAGUUGCAGGACAUUUGGGAAACCAGGCUCAUGAAAGAAGCAAAACCAGAACCAUAUCAGAGGAACAUCUGAUCAAGCACCACUCCCCACUGACACUGGACCUUGGAGAAAGUCACCCUAGUACCCUGGAAAUCAAAUGCUGACACAGUGGCAGCCACCACUAGAACGAGGUCUCCACUUCCCCUCAACAGCUUAAUGAGCAUCGCCCCUGCCCCAAGACGGGAUCCAGAGGACUCUGUGAAGGUGGCAGGUUCAAGCAUGUAAGGACUCUGAAAGUCCCCGAGACCUCUCCAACAGCCCCAGAGAAGAUCUAGAAAUUCCAACUCGUUAUGAGCUGACAGAAAGGCUGAUGUGCUGCGGAAGGGGUUGGUACCGGGACCUUGGAUCAGAGGCUUUGCAGGGUUGGGUCCAUGAGGGGUCCAAAGAGAAACAGUUAUGUCUCAACGAGGAUGCAGUGCAUGAGUGGGGCUUGGUAAAAACUCCAUGUAGUGAAUAAAGGGCUUCACUAAUAAAUUCUCUUAUUAAUCCCAAACUGUAGGCUACAUCCAAGAUUCUGUGAUCAUGUUCGUGUGUUUGGCUCUUCCCCUGAAAAAUUAGCUCUUGUUUGGCUUUGCUUCCAAUAGUAAGUGUUCC